GACGAACGCUGGCGGCGUGCUUAACACAUGCAAGUCGAACGGAAAGGCCCUGCUUUUGUGGGGUGCUCGAGUGGCGAACGGGUGAGUAACACGUGAGUAACCUGCCCUUGACUUUGGGAUAACUUCAGGAAACUGGGGCUAAUACCGGAUAGGAGCUCCUGCUGCAUGGUGGGGGUUGGAAAGUUUCGGCGGUUGGGGAUGGACUCGCGGCUUAUCAGCUUGUUGGUGGGGUAGUGGCUUACCAAGGCUUUGACGGGUAGCCGGCCUGAGAGGGUGACCGGCCACAUUGGGACUGCGAUACGGCCCAGACUCCUACGGGAGGCAGCAGUGGGGAAUAUUGCACAAUGGUCGGAAGCCUGAUGCAGCAACGCCGCGUGCGGGAUGACGGCCUUCGGGUUGUAAACCGCUUUCGCCUGUGACGAAGCGUGAGUGACGGUAAUGGGUAAAGAAGCACCGGCUAACUACGUG
rnacentral:rRNA from 1 species